GUUUCACCAGGUAUCCUGCCUGUGUUAGUUCCUCUGAGACCUUACUGAGAUUAUUCUGCAAGUGGCAAGGACAGAGUAGUCCUGAGCACCAGCUAACAGAUCUGUGGGAAGAGUGUCAAGACACAAAGGGGUGCAUUCUUUGCUGUAAGUAAUUACCUUUUUCACACUUCUUCAUCUGCAAUUGCCAAUUGUUUUGCAGCAGUGGGAAAUAUUUUAUACAAAAUAUGGCCCCAGCCCUGAAAUCAGAAAUAUGUGGGUGAUCUUUCUGUCUAUGUGAGGAUUCUUUUUAUUUCAGUGGCACUCUACAAUGGUGUUGGGUCCUUUCUCACAUGUCAGGCUGCCAUGGGUCAAAUAGUGACCUCGUGAACAUGGGACAUUUAGUCUUGUGUUGCCUAGAUUCUUUUGCGAGUGUUUCCAAACAAAAUUCAUAACAAGGAGUUGAGAAAAGUAGGCUACUCCACUCCGAAAACUCUAAGCUAUUAUUGCUCAAACUAGGGAUUGCCAGCCUUGUUGAGGCUACCAAACAGGCACUAGUGAAAUUCACUGUUCUUUUGCCUUUUUCCUUUCUACGGUGGGACAUGUGAAGCAGUGAAAAGAUGUUCUCCCGUCUCUCUUGGGAAAUUCUUUAGAGGAGGGGGAAGAAGGGGUUUGCUGCAAAAAUAAAAUUCCAAUCCAAAAUCACUUGAUUACUUUGAAAGUAGAAUUCUGGUGCUGGACACACAGUCCGGGGUUGAUCUAGGCUGCAGCUUGACUUGAUCUGUGUGAAAGUCUGCCAGUGGAAAGACCACUUCCUUCGCUGAAGUUUAAAGAAAGUAGGGAGAAAGACUUCUGGAAAGGAGAAUAACAAAAAUUAAAUUAAGAGUAAACCCAUGUAAAAGAAAGAAUCCUCUCCUUUCUUUCCCCCAAUUCCCUACUAUUCCUGUGAUGAGGGAGAUGAUUGUUCCUUGUAGGGCUUUUAUUGUUUCCCUCAUUGCCCUCUUCUUUUCCCCCUUCACAGCUCCAUUCUCCAAAGGGCUUGUUGCUGCAGAAUUACAAGGAGCUUCUAUAAAUCUCACACUUGCCAUUCAUCUGGGCUCUGCUGGUCUCACAAAUUGCUGUGAUUUAGAUACUUUAUCUAUCAGAAGGUGUCCUGCGUGGCUGGGUCAGCAUUCUGCCAAACUGUACUUCCCUCUGCCAUCGCUGCCCUCCCCCUGCUGAACCCUGUAAUUUGCGCGCUGGGCUGGGACAACGCUCAGCAGCGCUCUGCACGGGACAGGGGCUCCAGGGAGAAUGCCUUUUAUCCACAGCUGGGACAUUAAAUAGCACAUCACCCCACUGAUCGUGUCAGGCUUGGUACUCCCCGAGAGGCUUUCCAAGGCUGUUGGGGCCCAGUGUAUGCUGCAUGCAAGCCUAGUAAAAGACUUGUGGUGGUUUGGGUAUAGAAUGUGCACAAUUUGUGCCACAGAUGAAGAACAUUUUAAAAAAAACCCACCUUUUUAAAACCCAGCUGCACCUUUCUUUGAAUUUACUCUUGGGGGAUGCCACAUUCUCAUCACAUCAUGGGGUCAUGUAUCCUGGGUGCAAAUACCCUCUGUUUUCUGAAAGGAAAUUCAGAAGUAUCAAGCAGACUGCAUUAGAGAUUCAGCUGGUCUAAAUCAGCCCAAACCAUUGAUCACUGAUUGCAAAGGCUUCUGACUAGUAUAUAUGAAAGGACCUGUUCCUUUGAAACAAGCAUUGUUUCGUCUUCCCUACGUAGUGAAAUCCUGUCUGUCAAAAAGAGAAGGAGGGUAAAUCAGGCUGCAGUGAGAUGUGUUGUGUAAGCGGCAGCUGAGCUAGGUCUCCCUAGCCGGAGAUGGCAAUAGAUACCUCACCCUCAGAGCUACCAGCCUAACAGCCUGUCGUUACCCACACAGAUGCUGUUAAUAUUAAGAGAUUUAGGUAAAAAGCAUUUAACAGUAGAUAGGUAAAUAGAUAGGCAGGUAUAUUUGAUAUUUGUCCAGGACUAUACUGGCUGACAUUGGGUUAGGGACAAAGCUGAUGUGUGGUUGUAUCACCAGUUUUGAGACGACAGCCAGCUUUGGUGGGAAAGGGGAGAAGACAGCGCUGAGCAGCUCUGGGCAUCUUCAGAAGUUCUCAGAGAAGCACAUCACUCAUACUCUGAGACACCAACUGAACAGAUCAAAAAGCCAAACCUCAUCCGCCUGUCACAUCAAAAACCUACGUGUAAAACCUUAGUUUAUUGAAAGCAGCUUGUCUCACAAUACAGAGUACUUCUUUCUACCUACACACCUUUACUGGAUCCUUGAGAGGUAUAGAUCUGUCUGGGCCUGAGAAAGGAGCAGACUUGGAAAUAAUGCAGGCUGUUCUUUAUCUCAUUUGGAAGUUACAAGGGCAGUUAAACUUUCUAGAGAUUUUCUUCUAAAACCUACAAAAUGCCACUAAUCUAAUAAUAACUCACAAAAAAGUGAUGUAGAAAGAAGACUCCUGCAAAACAAAUUAAACUCAAAGUAGCACACAGGACCUUGUAUUUAGAUUGAAUUGGGAGUAAUUCAAUACUGAAGAUUAAAGGCCAAACUCUCUGCUGUUAAAAUUAGAUCUAAAUGCAAUAUUAAGCCAGCAGACUCAUUUGAAUGAUGUAAAUUCAUUCAGCUUUUCAAUACUGGGGGCGGAGGGAAGAACUUUUCAGAACGUGAACGCUGUUGUUGCAGACAUCUAAAACUCACUGUCUAAAACAUUCCUUUGGAUAAUGACUUACAGCAUUCAAAACAAGGCCAUAAGUAGAAAUACUGAAAUUCAUUACACAGGGAGACGUGCUAGGAGGCAACAGUGUGUGACUUCGUUUUGAAAGAUGCUACUCCAUUGUCAUAAUGGUCACAGGUGAGAAGAUUAUUUAGAGCUGUUACCUUGUGCUGAGACUUGGCCUUUGUAACCGCCCUGAUGACUAGUGACUCUGAAUUGAAGAGAGUGAAACGUUGAUAUGCUUUGUACUAUUUAAUGGGCUCCUCUGUAGAACGAGAGUGUGAAGUAGCUGUGAUUUGUAUCGAAAAAGGUUUUACCUUCCUAGUACUUAAACAAAUGCUCUGUGACUUUUCAGCUGUCAGAAGAUUUAAGUGAACAUCAGUAAGUCAAUCAAACACUUAAUUUUGCCAAUCAACAGUGUAAAAUUCACCUCUAAACCACCUUGAAUACUCAAAUGCAUACGUAAUGUCAGCUAUUUUUGCUAUUUGUAUGUUAUCAUUUUUCCAUUUCAUUUAGUCCAUUGCUCCUUGGAGUUCCCUUUACCUUACUGUGUAAGCUGGCAGUACUAAGUAGCUCUAUUAAUCAUUUCACCCUGGCUUUCCCAGUAGUUUAAUCAGAUGUUUACUAGAAAACAAGCACAGAUUGAAAGCUCUCCAAUAUGUACGGUACACUUACCUCUCCCUGUCAGAAACACAAAACCUAGCAGGUAAAAGCAAAACCUGUGAUUCUUUAUAGAAUGUAAAAGAUCUAUCCUGUUGAAGCUCCAGGUCAUAUUUUUGAGACCUUUUGCACAAAAUUCCAGUUUUCUCCUUGUGCACAGAAGGACCUCAAGUGCUCAUUUGAGACCAAAUGACUGGCAGGCCUCCCGUCUCUUCCUUUGCUUAUGCCAACCUCCUGGUAGGCCAUCAAGUGCCUUGACUGUUACAUACUACAAGGAAUACAAACAGGCAGCAGAAAAAAUUACUUCUCAUAAAUCCCCUGAUUUCUGCAACUAGAAACCUAAGGGUACAAUUUUGAAGGCUACAGGGGGCAGAACAGGAACAGAAAACCAGUAAACAUGAAGAACAUCUGUUUGGAUAGCUUAUACUAAACAGCUGCAGAAUGCAUGUGACCCAUUGAGGAAAGCUGCAGCAGAGGAUCAGAGCUGUAGAAGCUCUCUCUGGUGCUGGAAGGACUGUCAAAUAACUGUGUGCAAAAUAAGCUCUACUGACCUCUGAUAACAGAGGUGUAUAAAGAAUGAUCCUCACAGGCACACAUGUCUGUAUGUUUCUCUCACAUACUUGCACAUAGAUAUGACUCUAUACUUACUGGAUGACAUCUAGCUAUUCUCAAGGUCAGCUCUAUUCAGCCAUUAACUAGAGAGAUGUGAAACUAACCAUAACAAACGUAAACAUGCACUUUUACACAAUAAUCCUCGUGUGUGCAGGCAUAGGUAGCAUCAUGUUUCCAGGCUGCCUGCCUUGAAUAAAUGGGUUGGUCCAAACUCAUCUUUUAUAAAGGUUAAUUACAAAACCCUUUUGAACAUCUCAGGUUCUAUUUCCAAGACAAUGUGUUCUUGUAUCUGGAACUUGGCAGGGGACAUUUAUGAGUUUUUGACUUCUGUUUGUUAUAUACAUGACAGACUUCAGCAGUGCAAACGUGCAGAAAUGCUUUUAAUAUGUGAAAAGGCAAGUCAUGUCUGGGACGCCCAUUGGUUUUCAUGUGGCUUUGAGAAUUUUCAAAUUGUCGUUCAUAAAAUUGCUAGGCAAGGCUGCGGGCUUCCCGGGGUGUGCAGCCACCGUAUUACCGGUUGGUCGCAGUUGUUCUCUGUUCUCUGCAAGGGUUUUGUGACAGAGCCAAAAUAGAUGAGCAGAGGAAAAAUAAGGUAGAAACUUAUAUUGACAGCAGCGAUUAAAAAAAAAAAAAUCAUAAGAAUCUUCAUGCUCAUCUCCACACUGGCUAUGCAUAAUUUCUGAAAAAACUGAAAGCAAGCACAGGAGAAACGAAAAAAUAAUCCAUCUCCAAAGUCACAUUUGUUUUCUGUUACGUGUGUUUCAUCAUCUGUUUCCACUUCCUCAUUUGUCGUGCCGAGGAAGAGAAGAAGCAGGACGACCGGGACGGAUGGGAUAUGGACUCAAAUGCACGUUGUGUAUGAUGGAAAUAAUCUCAUAACGGUCCUGGUGCCACCACACCAAGCUCCAGACUCAGCAGUCCCAAAAUUAUAUUGCACUAUUUGCCUGAUCUCAGAAACAGUGGAUAAAGAAGCCCUGAAGAUGUGUAGGCACCACUCACCAGGAGCGACGGGGAUUGCAGGUGCUUCUCCCGCAGCAGGAUUUCCUCCUUGACAUUAAGCAAGGGCAAGCAAACUGAAACUAUGAGCGUUAACAAAAUUUGGAAAAGGCAGAGUGUGACUGAUUACAUCCGCCCAUCUGAAGCUCUGCUGUGCACGUCCUGGUCCCUCUUUUCUUUCCUGCUUUAGAUUGCCAGGCGAGUCUCUCGUGGUAGUGCGUAUGAAAGACACAAGGAGGGACAAGUCUUAGAUGGGCUGCCUUUUCCACUUGUAAAAAAUACAUUCCAGAGAGGGAGAAUUAACUUGGUUUUGAAAGAAGAGUUUUGCCACAUCAGCUGUUACAAACUCACAGCACUAUGGAGCUAUUUACAGAUCUGUAGUUCCAGACCAGGACCCCCAAUAAAAGCUGGUAGUGGAUUUAUUACAUUAAUUUAAGUUACCUUAUGUAAAUACAUUGUUCCUCUGGGAAGUCUGGCUCUUUUUUCCCAUUCUCUAGCAGUUUGUCUAAGCAGUACUUUGGCACUUGAUUUAUUUCUUCAGAGCAAUGGAAAUGUGGAAGGAGGGGCAUGUCCUUCAUGCUCACAUUGGCACUAGAUGGGAAGUGACUCUGACAAACUAAAGGUGAGGAAAGUGUCUUUAGAGUGCUCAUGUCUUCAAUAGCAUUUUCAGAUCCUCUUUGGCUCUACCUCUCUCUACGUGAAGACACUCAACUGCUGACACUCUAGUUACGAACACCUCACAACCCUCC